rnacentral:rRNA from 1 species
AACGAACGCUGGCGGCAUGCCUAACACAUGCAAGUCGAACGAUGCUUUCGGGCAUAGUGGCGCACGGGUGCGUAACGCGUGGGAAUCUGCCCUUAGGUUCGGAAUAACAGUUAGAAAUGACUGCUAAUACCGGAUGAUGUCGAUAAGACCAAAGAUUUAUCGCCUGAGGAUGAGCCCGCGUAGGAUUAGCUAGUUGGUGUGGUAAGAGCGCACCAAGGCGACGAUCCUUAGCUGGUCUGAGAGGAUGAUCAGCCACACUGGGACUGAGACACGGCCCAGACUCCUACGGGAGGCAGCAGUGGGGAAUAUUGGACAAUGGGCGCAAGCUUGAUCCAGCAAUGCCGCGUGAGUGAUGAAGGCCUUAGGGUUGUAAAGCUCUUUUACCCGUGAUGAUAAUGACAGUAGCGGGAGAAUAAGCCCCGGCUAACUCCGUGCCAGCAGCCGCAGUAA